rnacentral:rRNA from 1 species
UGGGGAAUUUUGGACAAUGGGCGCAAGCCUGAUCCAGCAAUGCCGCGUGCAGGACGAAGGCCUUCGGGUUGUAAACUGCUUUUGUACAGAACGAAAAGUCUCUGGUUAAUACCUGGGGAUCAUGACGGUACUGUAAGAAUAAGCACCGGCUAACUACGUGCCAGCAGCCGCGGUAAUACGUAGGGUGCGAGCGUUAAUCGGAAUUACUGGGCGUAAAGCGUGCGCAGGCGGCGAUGCAAGACCGAUGUGAAAUCCCCGGGCUCAACCUGGGAACUGCAUUAGUGACUGCAUUGCUGGAGUGCGGCAGAGGGGGAUGGAAUUCCGCGUGUAGCAGUGAAAUGCGUAGAUAUGCGGAGGAACACCGAUGGCGAAGGCAAUCCCCUGGGCCUGCACUGACGCUCAUGCACGAAAGCGUGGGGAGCAAACAG